GAUCAGCUCCGUGUGGAGGCCAGUGGGAAUGUGUUUCCUCCCCCUGGAGACCCUCUCAGACAGUGAGGUUACAGAUCAGCCACGUGUGGAGGCCAGUGGGAAUGUGUUUCCUCCCCCUGAGACCCUCUCAGACAGUGAGGUUACAGAUCAGCUCCGUGUGGAGGCCAGUGGGAAUGUGUUUCCUCCCCCUGAGACCCUCUCAGACAGUGAGGUUACAGAUCAGCUCCGUGUGGAGGCCAGUGGGAAUGUGUUUCCUCCCCCUGAGACCCUCUCAGACAGUGAGGUUACAGAUCAGCCACGUGUGGAGGCCAGUGGGAAUGUUGAGAAAAAGAGAGAGAUUAUUUUGCAACUUGUGUGAGUGUAAUAUUUACUGUUCACUUUAUUGUUUAUUUCACUUUUGUUUAUCCAUUUUAUUGCUUUGGCGAUGUAAACAUGUUUCCCAUGACAAUAAAGCCCCUUGAAUUGAA